rnacentral:rRNA from 1 species
AACGAACGCUGGCGGCAUGCCUAACACAUGCAGGUCGAACGAGACCUUCGGGUCUAGUGGCGCACGGGUGCGUAACGCGUGGGAAUCUGCCCUUGGGUUCGGAAUAACAGUUGGAAACGACUGCUAAUACCGGGUGAUGACGUAAGUCCAAAGAUUUAUCGCCCAAGGAUGAGCCCGCGUAGGAUUAGCUAGUUGGUGAGGUAAAGGCUCACCAAGGCGACGAUCCUUAGCUGGUCUGAGAGGAUGAUCAGCCACACUGGGACUGAGACACGGCCCAGACUCCUACGGGAGGCAGCAGUGGGGAAUAUUGGACAAUGGGCGAAAGCCUGAUCCAGCAAUGCCGCGUGAGUGAUGAAGGCCUUAGGGUUGUAAAGCUCUUUUACCCGGGAUGAUAAUGACAGUACCGGGAGAAUAAGCUCCGGCUAACUCCGUGCCAGCAGCCGCGGUAAU